rnacentral:rRNA from 1 species
GUGUCAGCAGCCGCGGUAAGACGGGAGAUGCAAGUGUUAUCCGGAAUAAUUGGGCGUAAAGCGUCUGUAGGUGGUUUACCAAGUCUGUUGUUAAAAAUCAGGGCUCAACCCUGAUCCGGCAACAGAAACUAGUAGGCUUGAGUACGGUAGGGGCAGAGGGAAUUCUCGGUGUAGUGGUGAAAUACGUAGAUAUCGAGAAGAACACCAAUAGCGAAAGCACUCUGCUGGGCCGAAACUGACAUUGAGAGACGAAAGCUAGGGGAGCAAAAGGGAUUAGAUACCCCCGUAGUCC